AAUCAACGCUGGCGGCGUGCCUAACACAUGCAAGUCGAACGCGAAAGUUCCUUCGGGAAUGAGUAGAGUGGCGUCCGGGUGAGUAACGCGUGGGUAAUCUACCCUUGGUGGGGAAUAACCAGUCGAAAGGCUGGCUAAUACCGCAUAAUGCAGCGGCUCGACAUCGAGACAGUUGUUAAAGCGCAACCGCAAGAUUGCGCGCCUAAGGAGGAGCCUGCGUCUGAUAGCUUGUUGGUGAGGUAAUGGCUCACCAAGGCUGCGAUCAGUAGCUGG
rnacentral:rRNA from 1 species